rnacentral:rRNA from 1 species
CCUACGGGAGGCAGCAGUGAGGAAUAUUGGUCAAUGGACGCAAGUCUGAACCAGCCAUGCCGCGUGCAGGAAGACGGCUCUAUGAGUUGUAAACUGCUUUUGUACGAGGGUAAACGCAGAUACGUGUAUCUGUCUGAAAGUAUCGUACAGAUAAAGAUCGGGUAACUCCGUGCCAGCCGCCGCGGUAAUACGGAGGAUUCAAGCGUUAUCCGGAUUUAUUGGGUUUAAAGGGUGCGUAGGCGGUCGGAUAAGUUAGAGGUGAAAUCCCGAGGCUCAACUUCGGAAUUGCCUCUGAUACUGUUCGGCUAGAGAGUAGUUGAGGUAGGCGGAAUGUAUGGUGUAGCGGUGAAAUGCUUAGAGAUCAUACAGAACACCGAUUGCGAAGGCAGCUUACCAAGCUACUUCUGACGUUGAGGCACGAAAGCGUGGGGAGCAAACAGGAUUAGAUACCCGGGUAGUC